rnacentral:rRNA from 1 species
AUUGAACGCUGGCGGCAUGCCUUACACAUGCAAGUCGAACGGCAGCACGGGUGCUUGCACCUGGUGGCGAGUGGCGAACGGGUGAGUAAUACAUCGGAACAUGUCCUGUAGUGGGGGAUAGCCCGGCGAAAGCCGGAUUAAUACCGCAUACGAACUUCGGAAGACAGCGGGUGCCCUUCUGGACUCGCGCUUUAGGGUUGGUUCUAGGCGGAUUCGCUAGUUGGGGGGGUAUCGGUCUACCAAGGCAACGCUCAGUAGACGGUCUGGGAGGGAGAACAGCCACACUGGGACUGAGACACGGCCCAGAAUCCUACGGGAGGCAGCAGUUGGGAAUUUUGCGCAAUGGGCGAAAGCCUGAAGCAGCAAAGCCGCGUGAGUGAAGAAGGUCUUCGGGUUGUAAAACCCUUUUAUUCGGGAAGAAAAACUGUGUCCGUAACUCUGCAGGGCUUGACGGUACCCAAAAAGAAAGCCACGGCUAACUACGUG